UCCGCCAGAGAACUACAAGUGAAAAACUUGAAACUCAAAGGACUUGACGGUGUCCCAUAUCGACCUAGAGGAGCCUGUCCUAUAAUCGAUACCCCCCGUUCCACCCAACCCCAACUAGCAAAAUAUCAGCCUAUAUACCGCCGUCGACAGUCUACCCCAUGAGGGCUCAACAGUAGACACAAUAGCCUUAACGCUAAUACGUCAGGUCAAGGUGUAGCAGAUGUUGGGGAAAAGAUUGGCUACAUUUUUUAUGAUAAAAAACACGAAUUGCACUAUGAAACACUGCAUGAAGGUGAAUUUAGUAGUAAAACAGACAAGAGUGUCUGUUUUAACAACGCUCUGG
rnacentral:rRNA from 1 species